rnacentral:rRNA from 1 species
UACAGAGGUCCCAAGCGUUGUUCGGAUUCACUGGGCGUAAAGGGUGCGUAGGUGGUGAGGUAAGUCGGAUGUGAAAGCUCGGAGCUCAACUCCGAAAUGGCAUUGGAAACUACCUUGCUCGAGGGUUGGAGGGGGGACUGGAAUACUUGGUGUAGCAGUGAAAUGCGUAGAUAUCAAGUGGAACACCAGUGGCGAAGGCGAGUCCCUGGACAACUCCUGACACUGAGGCACGAAAGCGUGGGGAUCAAACAGG